rnacentral:rRNA from 1 species
GACAGAGGAUGCAAGCGUUAUCCGGAAUGAUUGGGCGUAAAGCGUCUGUAGGUGGCUUUUUAAGUCUGCCGUCAAAUCCCAGGGCUUAACCCUGGACAGGCGGUGGAAACUACCGAGCUGGAGUACGGUAGGGGCAGAGGGAAUUUCCGGUGGAGCGGUGAAAUGCGUAGAGAUCGGAAGGAACGCCGGCGGCGAAAGCGGCUUGCUGGACCCCAUCUGACGCUGAGGCGCGAAAGCCAGGGGAGCGAACGGG